rnacentral:rRNA from 1 species
UGCGUAGGCGGGUCUUUAAGUCAGGGGUGAAAUCCUGGAGCUCAACUCCAGAACUGCCUUUGAUACUGAAGAUCUUGAGUUCGGGAGAGGUGAGUGGAACUGCGAGUGUAGAGGUGAAAUUCGUAGAUAUUCGCAAGAACACCAGUGGCGAAGGCGGCUCACUGGCCCGAUACUGACGCUGAGGCAAGCGUGGGGAGCAAACA